rnacentral:tRNA from 1 species
GGGAAUGUAGCUCAGUGGUAGAGCACUUGCCUAGCCUGUGCAAGCCCGUGAGCUCCAUUCCCA